CCAGCAGCCGCGGUAAUUCCAGCUCCAAUAGCGUAUACUAAAGUUGUUGCGGUUAAAAAGCUCGUAGUUGGAUCUUGGAAUGUGUUCAAGCGGGUCAGCUUCUGGCUGUGCGCUGCUUGACGUGUUCUUCUAUUUGGUUUUGGUGCGGUGCGCUUAACUGCGUGUCGCUCCCGGCCGAAACGUUUACCUUGAAAAAAUUAGAGUGUUCAAAGCAGACCUGUUUGAGUCUGAAUAUUCGUGCAUGGAAUAAUGAAAUAUGAAUUCGGUUCUAUUUUGUUGGUUUUCGGAACUCGAGUUAAUGAUCAAGAGGGACAGACGGGGGCAUUCGUACUCUGCCGUUAGAGGUGAAAUUCUUGGAUCGGCGGAAGACGCGCAACUGCGAAAGCAUUUGCCAAGAAUGUUUUCUUUAAUCAAGAACGAUAGUCGGAGGUUCGAAGACGAUCAGAUACCGUCCUAGUUUCGACUGUAAACUAUGCCAGCUAACGAUCAGACAGAGUUCUCUACGACUUGUCUGGCAGUUUCCGGGAAACCAAAGCGUUUGGGUUCCGGGGGAAGUAUGGUUGCAAAGCUGAAACUUAAAGGAAUUGACGGAAGGGCACCACCAGGAGUGGAGCCUGCGGCUUAAUUUGACUCAGCACGGGGAAACUCACCCGGCCCGGACACAGUGAGGAUUGACAGAUUGAGAGUUCUUUCUUGAUUCUGUGGGUGGUGGUGCAUGGGCCGUUCUUAGUUGGUGGAGCGAUUUGUCUGGUUAAUUCCGAUAACGAACGAGACUCUGGCAUGUUAAAUAGUCGCGGAAGUGCGUAUGCACUUGCCGAAUUGACUUCUUAGAGGGACUAGUGAUUUUAAUUCACACGAGAUUGAGCAAUAACAGGUCUGUGAU
rnacentral:rRNA from 1 species